rnacentral:rRNA from 1 species
UACUCCUACGGGAGGCAGCAGUGGGGAAUUUUGGACAAUGGGCGAAAGCCUGAUCCAGCAAUGCCGCGUGUGUGAAGAAGGCCUUCGGGUUGUAAAGCACUUUUGUCCGGAAAGAAAUCCUUGGCUCUAAUACAGUCGGGGGAUGACGGUACCGGAAGAAUAAGCACCGGCUAACUACGCGCCAGCAGCCGCGGUAAUACGUAGGGUGCAAGCGUUAAUCGGAAUUACUGGGCGUAAAGCGUGCGCAGGCGGUUUGCUAAGACCGAUGUGAAAUCCCCGGGCUCAACCUGGGAACUGCAUUGGUGACUGGCAGGCUAGAGUAUGGCAGAGGGGGGGUAGAAUUCCACGUGUAGCAGUGAAAUGCGUAGAGAUGUGGAGGAAUACCGAUGGCGAAGGCAGCCCCCUGGGCCAAUACUGACGCUCAUGCACGAAAGCGUGGGGAGCAAACAGGAUUAGAUACCCUGGUAGUCCACGCCCUAAACGAUGUCAACUAGUUGUUGGGGAUUCAUUUCCUUAGUAACGUAGCUAACGCGUGAAGUUGACCGCCUGGGGAGUACGGUCGCAAGAUUAAAACUCAAAGGAAUUGACGGA